rnacentral:rRNA from 1 species
UGGGGAAUCUUGCGCAAUGGGCGAAAGCCUGACGCAGCCAUGCCGCGUGAAUGAUGAAGGUCUUAGGAUUGUAAAAUUCUUUCACCGGGGACGAUAAUGACGGUACCCGGAGAAGAAGCCCCGGCUAACUUCGUGCCAGCAGCCGCGGUAAUACGAAGGGGGCUAGCGUUGCCCGGAAUUACUGGGCGUAAAGGGAGCGUAGGCGGACAUUUAAGUCAGGGGUGAAAUCCCGGGGCUCAACCUCGGAAUUGCCUUUGAUACUGGGUGUCUUGAGUAUGAGAGAGGUGUGUGGAACUCCGAGUGUAGAGGUGAAAUUCGUAGAUAUUCGGAAGAACACCAGUGGCGAAGGCGACACACUGGCUCAUUACUGGCGCUGAGGCUCGAAAGCGUGGGGAGCAAACAGG